AAGGAGAAGCGCCGGGAGCCCGGAGUGAAGUGCGUUUCAGGGGCUCGCGGAAACGCUCAGGAGUGCAAGGGGGCAGCGCCGACAGUGCAGUCUGGGAGGAAAAUAGCCCAUUGCAGUCCGGCCUGGCGCACCAAGCUGGCCAGAGAUGGGGCCGGCAGCUUUCCAGCCAAGCCUAUAUGAAGCGACAAUCAAGGUAGCUGCAGGUUUACAAAGACACAGCGUUUC
rnacentral:lncRNA from 1 species